AGUAGUGGCCACGAGCACAGAGUGCCUUAGAAAAAAAAAGAAAAGAUUUGUUUAUUUACAUCUCUAAGGAAGGCGACUACAUAUCGAAAGAGUGCUAUAUUGUUUGCGUCGAAAACUUGAUAAAUGUUACUAAAGCUAUUCAAGCCGUAUUUGCUCCUGGUGUUAGCGUACUUGAUGCAACUUAAAAAAAGCCAGUACGCUGAGAAGUCAUGGCCUGCAAGGAGCCGAUUUAGAGUUCGAGUUUCGGAGUUGGUGAGCUGAAGUCCAGAAUACCAGGGUUUCUUUGGGAUGGUAUUUUGAAGUUGGAAAUACUUGCAACCUUUUCCGUCUAUAGCAGCAUAUUCAAGAUUUUGUUUUGGUCCAGAGCAGCUUUUGCCAGAAGAUCAGCCAUUUCAUUACCAGCACAGCCAGUACGACCGGGGAUCCACUGCAAAACUGUGCGAGUCCUUGAAGCCAUGGCUAAUAAUCUCUCUACAAGUCCAUCACGAUAACGGUCAUUUGAGGUUGAUUUUAUAAACUCCAAUCCUGCCUUCGAAUCACUCAUAAAUACUGCAUUUGUGAUUCCGGAACGCGAAGUGCGACCCAGAUAGCUUCAAGCUCAGCUGACAUGAUGCAAACCCGAUGUUCCAGCUUCAGACUAAGCCGAAAGUUAGAAGACGAGUCAUACACACCAAUCCCACAAGACUCCCAGUUCUUGGAGGCAUCCGUAUAAAUGAUACGCUUUCCACUGUACCUGCCAUGAAUUAGUGAAAGAGUUAGUUGCUUUAAAACUUUUUCA